rnacentral:ncRNA from 1 species
AUACUUCGCGCCGCUUAAGGUGCCAGACACAGGAAUGCGUCUGGUUAAACGGGAAACAGGUGAGGGAAUUUAUUCCUCAGGCCUGUGCUGCCCCCGCAACGGUAAGCAGGUGUGGACGUGUUGAUAACUUGGAUGUUUCAUGAAUUCGCGUGAUGAUCGCGCAGUAUUUGUUUGAUAAGUAAAUUUAGUAAGGAAGGCGGGGCGCUGGCCUGGUUUAUCGAGGCGGUGGCUUCUCCCUAGCUGAUUAAAUUUGCAUAGUAGACAGAAACUAGCAAGCGACCAAUGCAAGACGCGUAAAUUAUGGAAAACCUGAGUUAAGCCACUGUGAGCAAUCAUGGGAAGGCGAUGCGUCUAGUCCUGCGAGCCCGGAUACCGGCCUUGAGCACAGGAGCCUCA